rnacentral:rRNA from 1 species
AGUGAACGCUGGCGGUAGGCCUAACACAUGCAAGUCGAACGGCAGCACAGUAAGAGCUUGCUCUUACAGGUGGCGAGUGGCGGACGGGUGAGGAAUACAUCGGAAUCUACUUUUUCGUGGGGGAUAACGUAGGGAAACUUACGCUAUACCGCAUACGACCUACGGGUGAAAGCAGGGGAUCUUCGGACCUUGCGCGAUUGAAUGAGCCGAUGUCGGAUUAGCUAGUUGGCGGGGUAAAGGCCCACCAAGGCGACGAUCCGUAGCUGGUCUGAGAGGAUGAUCAGCCACACUGGAACUGAGACACGGUCCAGACUCCUACGGGAGGCAGCAGUGGGGAAUAUUGGACAAUGGGCGCAAGCCUGAUCCAGCCAUACCGCGUGGGUGAAGAAGGCCUUCGGGUUGUAAAGCCCUUUUGUUGGGAAAGAAAAGCAGCAGGUUAAUACCCCGCUGUUCUGACGGUACCCAAAGAAUAAGCACCGGCUAACUUCGUG